UAUAAAGACAUUUUAAAGUAUAUUUAUAGAAACGUGAUGAUUGGAGUUCGCAUGACGCGUGAUAAGCGUUCUGUGUAAUCAGGACCAUCCUGGUUACUCCUAUCUGAA
rnacentral:snoRNA from 1 species